rnacentral:tRNA from 1 species
GGCAGGGUAGCUCAGUUGGUUAGAGCGCUUCAAUCAUAACGAAGAGGUCGUGGGUUCGAUCCCCACCCCUGCUA